GUUAGGAAUCUUCGGCAAUGGGGGAAACCCUGACCGAGCGACACUGCUUGAAGGAUGAAGGUCUUCGGAUCGUAAACUUCUGAACCUGCGACGAAAAAUGACGGUAGCAGGCUAAUAGCACCGGCUAACUCCGUGCCAGCAGCCGCGGUAAUACGGAGGGUGCAAGCGUUAUCCGGAAUCACUGGGCGUAAAGGGCGCGUAGGCGGUUUGCUAAGUCCGAUGUUAAAGACCGAGGCUCAACCUCGACACGGCGUUGGAUACUGGCAAGCUGGACGGUUGGAGAGGAAGGUAGAAUUACCAGUGUAGCGGUGGAAUGCGUAGAUACUGGUAGGAAUACCCAUUGCGAAGGCAGCCUUCUGGACAACACGUGACGCUGAGGCGCGAAAGUGUGGGGAGCAAACCGGAUUAGAUACCCGGGUAGUCCACACCCUAAACGAUGCAUACUUGGUGUCGGCCCGUUGGGGUCGGUGCCGGAGCUAACGCGUUAAGUAUGCCGCCUGGGAAGUACGGCCGCAAGGU
rnacentral:rRNA from 1 species